CCUACGGGAGGCAGCAGUGGGGAAUAUUGGACAAUGGGCGCAAGCCUGAUCCAGCAAUGCCGCGUGAGUGAUGAAGGCCUUAGGGUCGUAAAGCUCUUUUACCAGGGAUGAUAAUGACAGUACCUGGAGAAUAAGCUCCGGCUAACUCCGUGCCAGCAGCCGCGGUAAUACGGAGGGAGCUAGCGUUGUUCGGAAUUACUGGGCGUAAAGCGUACGUAGGCGGUUAUUCAAGUCAGAGGUGAAAGCCCGGGGCUCAACCCCGGAACGGCCUUUGAAACUAGGUAGCUAGAAUCUUGGAGAGGUCAGUGGAAUUCCGAGUGUAGAGGUGAAAUUCGUAGAUAUUCGGAAGAACACCAGUGGCGAAGGCGACUGACUGGACAAGUAUUGACGCUGAGGUACGAAAGCGUGGGGAGCAAACAGGAUUAGAUACCCUGGUAGUCCACGCCGUAAACGAUGAUAACUAGCUGUUCGGGCACUUGGUGCUUGAGUGGCGCAGCUACGCAUAAGUUAUCCGUCCGUCGGGUAGGUACGGUCGCGAGAAGUUAAACGUUAAAGUUAGUAAGUUAGUAACGGUCGUGUUAGACGUGUUCCGAACGGACGACGACGAGGGAGGAGG
rnacentral:rRNA from 1 species